rnacentral:tRNA from 1 species
GAAGAGAUGGCUCAGUGGUUAAGAGCACUGACUGCUUUUUCAGAGGCCCUGAGUUCAAUUCCCAGCAACCACA